GACGAACGCUGGCGGCGUGCCUAACACAUGCAAGUCGAGCGGAGUUAGUUUGUAGCUUGCUACAAACUAACUUAGCGGCGGACGGGUGAGUGACGCGUGGAUAACCUGCCUUUUACAGGGGGAUAACACAGGGAAACUUGUGCUAAUACCGCAUAACAUAUAGAAGUGGCAUCACUUUUAUAUCAAAGGAGCAAUUCGGUAGAAGAUGGAUCCGCGUCCGAUUAGCUAGUUGGCGGGGUAAAGGCCCACCAAGGCGACGAUCGGUAGCCGAACUGAGAGGUUGAGCGGCCACAUUGGGACUGAGACACGGCCCAGACUCCUACGGGAGGCAGCAGUGGGGAAUAUUGCGCAAUGGGGGAAACCCUGACGCAGCAACGCCGCGUGAAGGAUGAAGGCUUUCGGGUUGUAAACUUCUUUAGUCGGGGACGAAAAAAUGACGGUACCCGAAGAAUAAGCCACGGCUAACUACGUGCCAGCCGCCGCAGUAA
rnacentral:rRNA from 1 species